rnacentral:rRNA from 1 species
AACGAACGCUGGCGGCAUGCCUAACACAUGCAAGUCGAACGAGAUCUUCGGGUCUAGUGGCGCACGGGUGCGUAACGCGUGGGAAUCUGCCCUUUGGUUCGGAAUAACAGUUGGAAACGACUGCUAAUACCGGAUGAUGACGAAAGUCCAAAGAUUUAUCGCCAGAGGAUGAGCCCGCGUAGGAUUAGCUAGUUGGUGUGGUAAAGGCGCACCAAGGCGACGAUCCUUAGCUGGUCUGAGAGGAUGAUCAGCCACACUGGGACUGAGACACGGCCCAGACUCCUACGGGAGGCAGCAGUGGGGAAUAUUGGACAAUGGGCGAAAGCCUGAUCCAGCAAUGCCGCGUGAGUGAUGAAGGCCUUAGGGUUGUAAAGCUCUUUUACCCGGGAUGAUAAUGACAGUACCGGGAGAAUAAGCUCCGGCCAACUACGUGCCAGCCGCCGCAGUAA